rnacentral:rRNA from 1 species
AUUGAACGCUGGCGGUAUGCCUUACACAUGCAAGUCGAACGGUAGAGGAGCAAUCCUUGAGAGUGGCGAACGGGUGAGUAAUACAUCGGAACGUGCCCAGUCGUGGGGGAUAACGUAGCGAAAGCUACGCUAAUACCGCAUACGACCUGAGGGUGAAAGCGGGGGACCUGAGAGGGCCUCGCGCGAUUGGAGCGGCCGAUGGCAGAUUAGGUAGUUGGUGGGGUAAAGGCCUACCAAGCCUGCGAUCUGUAGCUGGUCUGAGAGGACGACCAGCCACACUGGGACUGAGACACGGACCAGACUCCUACGGGAGGCAGCAGUGGGGAAUUUUGGACAAUGGGCGAAAGCCUGAUCCAGCCAUACCGCGUGUGGGAAGAAGGCCUUCGGGUUGUAAACCACUUUUGUCAGGGAAGAAAUGCUCUGGGCUAAUACCCUGGGGAGAUGACGGUACCUGAAGAAUAAGCACCGGCUAACUACGUGCCAGCAGCCGCCGUAA